rnacentral:rRNA from 1 species
AUGCAACUGUAUGGCAGUCAUUUGAUCAUCCUACUGGAGGGCAUGAAGCUCACAGCAAGUACAUCUGCAACAAAUUGGACAGAGAAUCAGCUGUAUGCCACUGUACUCUCGGAUGGUUUGUAUGCUUAUGUUGCAUCUGCACCACCACAAAACUACUAUAUGCUGACAUCAAACGAAGACAAGACGGGAAAUGAAACAACAAGGGUUACAUUCAUGAAUAGCAGCCUCUGCAUCUUUCUCAACUCAACAUUUAAAGAUCCGAAUAGCAUAUCAUGGCCAACAACUACGUCCGCCCAGUUCAUAAGACUAGGAUAUGAUGGUCACCUGAGGAUGCAUGAAUGGGAUAUGGCAGAAGAAACUUGGCCUGCUGUGGAGGAGGUAAUGAAGCCAAACUUUGGUGACUGUGGUUUCCCAACUGUGUGCGGGGAGUAUGGAAUAUGCACAGGCAGGAAGUGCACCUGUCCCCUUCAGGAUAAUUAUAGUUCAGGCUACUUCAAGCCGAUUGGUGAUCCCAAGGACAAUCUUGGUUGCACACCCCUGACCCCAAUCUCUUGUCAAGAAAUGCAACACCAUCAGCUCUUAACCCUCGACGAAGUUUCCUACUUCGAUGUAAACUACCCCGUUGAGAAUGCAACAACCCCAGAUGAUUGUAAACAAGCCUGCUUGAAAAACUGCUCCUGUAGGGCCGUCAACUUCAGACAAUACUAUGGCCAGACUGGAACCGACGGCCAUUGCUUGUGGGUAACCAAGGUCUUCUCCUUGCAAUCAAUAAAACUUGAAUCUGUUAAUUACAAGAGCUCAGUUUUCAUCAAGGUGCAGCUUGGCCCUUCCAACUCGGCUGCUGCUUCUGCUCGUUCCACAAACAACAGCAACCUCAUCUUAGGCACUGCAAUUCCAGCUAUUGUUAUUGUUGUAUUACUCGCUAUUGUUGUCACCCUUUAUCUACAGAGGAGGAGAGCAUAUUAUGACAAGAAAGAUGAAGACUUCAAUUUUGAUCAAUUUGCUAGAAUGCCAGCCAGGUUUUCUUUUCAGAAGCUGAGAGAAUGCACUCAGGGGUUCAGUAAAAAACUUGGAGAAGGUGGAUUUGGAUCUGUUUAUGAGGGGAAAUUAGGUGAAGAGAGAGUCGCAGUGAAACGUCUGGAAAGUGCUAGACAAGGAAAGAAAGAAUUCUUGGCAGAGGUAGAGACAAUUGGAAGCAUCGAACACAUCAAUCUUGUCAGGCUGAUUGGCUUUUGUGCAGAGAAAUCUCAGAGGCUUCUAGUAUAUGAAUACAUGCCGAGAGGGUCACUUGAUAGGUGGAUCCAUUACCGCCACAACAAUGCCCCACUCAAUUGGGGCACGCGGUCUAGAAUCAUUCUGGAUAUUGCCAAAGGCCUAUGUUAUCUUCACGAGGAGUGCAGACGAAAGAUAGCUCAUUUAGAUAUCAAACCGCAAAAUAUUCUAUUAGAUGAGAACUUCAAUGCCAAAGUGGCUGAUUUCGGAUUAUCUAAGCUAAUAGAUAGGGAUCAAAGCAAGGUAGUGACGGUGAUGAGAGGCACGCCUGGGUAUCUGGCACCAGAAUGGUUAACCUCGCAAAUCACUGAAAAAGUUGACGUCUACAGCUUUGGAGUUGUUGUCAUGGAGCUAAUAAGUGGGAGAAAAAAUAUUGAUAAUUCUCUGCCUGAGGCGAGUUCCAACCUCAUCAAUUUGUUACGAGGAAAGGCUCGAGAUAAUCAAUUGAGUGAUCUGAUUGACAAGCAUAGUGAAGACAUGCUCUCACACCAUGAGCAAGUGAUUCAAAUGAUGAAGCUUGCAAUGUGGUGCUUGCUAAAUGAUGGCUGUCAAAGGCCUUCCAUGUCAACAGUGAUCAAGGUACUGGAGGGUGUGACAAGCAUAGAAACUGCAAUUCUUCAUAGAUUUAUCGAUGCAAAUUCAGUCAUGCCUGUUCAAGAUAAUAUAUCCGCAUAUUCAGUUCAACCUCAAGCAUCAACCUUAUCGGGACCAAGGUGA